rnacentral:rRNA from 1 species
GAUGAACGCUGGCGGCGUGCCUAACACAUGCAAGUCGAGCGAAGGGACGCGGAGCUUGCUGCUCUGAUGUUAGCGGCGGACGUGUGUGUAACACGUGGAACACCUACCUAUCUGACUGGGAUCACCUGGGAAAACCGGCGAUUAUAGCGGAUAAUCUUUUGAUCCGCAUGGUUCAAGUGGGAAGGGCGGUCUUGCUGUGGCUUAUAGAUGGAUCCGAGCUGCAUUAGCUAGUUGGUAGGGUAACGGCUUACCAAGGCAACGAUGCAUAGCCGACCUGCGAGCGGGAUCGGCCACCCUGGAACUGAGACACGGUCCAGGCUCCUACGUGAGGCAGCAGGAGGGAGUGUUCAGUAAUGGGCGAAAGCCUGACGGAUGAACGACGCGUGAGUGAUGAAGGUCUGCGGAUCGUAAAACGCUAUUAUUAGGGAAGAACAGAUGUGUAAGUAACUGUGCUGAGCUGGGCGGUACCGAAACAGAAAGCCACGCCUACCUACUG